UUCAAUAAGAUACCCUCUCAUCCUUCUAAAUUCCAGAGUGUGCAACGUAAUUGACAGAUCACUUUGGGAAUGCUUGAAACAGCAGAAAAUCAAGUGCACAUCAAGGAGGUGUAGUAGGAAGUUAUAUCCCUACACCGCAACUAAACCAUUGCAGACCAUUGGAUGUUUCACGACUAAAGUAGAAGUCAGAGAUAGAGAAACUGAAGCAGAAUUUGUGGUGAUAGAGGAGAAGGGAGAACCUCUGCUGAGUAGAAAUACAGCUGGAGAGCUGGGAGCGCUUCACAUCGGAGUGCAUGUCAAUUCAGUGCAGUCAUAUGAUGACAUGAGGCAAUAAUUUCAUUCAGUAUUCCAAGGGGUUGGAAAAUUGAAAGGCCGGCAAGUGAAGUUAGCCAUUGAUGAAAAUGUCAAGACGAUAGCUCAACCGGUGCGGAGAACGCCAUUUGGACUUCGUGGAAAAGUAGAAGUUAAAAUCAAGGAGUUGAUUGAU